rnacentral:pre_miRNA from 9 species
UCUCGAUAGCGUAAAAGUUAACUCAAAUUUGUACGAAUGUGGAACGUUUGCUUGCGUUUGCCGCUAAGGGCGAUGUUCCAACUGCAUACAAAUUUGAGUUAACUUUUACGCUAUCGA